rnacentral:rRNA from 1 species
ACAACUUUCAGCAGUUGAUUCCUUGGUUCAGACCUCGAUGAAGGGCACUGCGAAAGUGAAUGGCAUGUGAAUGCAGGCAUCCGGGAAUUGAGAGCUUCUUCAAUGCAUACUGCUCCAGCUGACUUGUCAGUUGGAUAAUCUCCCUCAGGGACUA